UACGGAAGGCAGCAGUGGGGAAUAUUGCACAAUGGGCGCAAGCCUGAUGCAGCCAUGCCGCGUGUAUGAAGAAGGCCUUCGGGUUGUAAAGUACUUUCAGCGGGGAGGAAGGCGAUGCGGUUAAUAACCGCGUCGAUUGACGUUACCCGCAGAAGAAGCACCGGCUAACUCCGUGCCAGCAGCCGCGGUAAUACGGAGGGUGCAAGCGUUAAUCGGAAUUACUGGGCGUAAAGCGCACGCAGGCGGUCUGUUAAGUCAGAUGUGAAAUCCCCCGGGGCUUAACCUGGGAACUGCAUUUGAAACUGGCAGGCUUGAGUCUUGUAGAGGGGGUGAAAUUCCAGGUGUAGCGGUGAAAUGCGUAGAGAUCUGGAGGAAUCCGGUGGCGAAGGCGGCCCCUGGACAAAGCUGACGCUCAGGGU
rnacentral:rRNA from 1 species